rnacentral:rRNA from 1 species
UUUUGUAGAAUGAACCGGCGAGUUACGAUUUGAUGCAAGGUUAAGCAGUAAAUGUGGAGCCGUAGCGAAAGCGAGUCUGAAUAGGGCGUUUAGUAUUUGGUCGUAGACCCGAAACCAGGUGAUCUACCCUUGGUCAGGUUGAAGUUCAGGUAACACUGAAUGGAGGACCGAACCGACUUACGUUGAAAAGUGAGCGGAUGAACUGAGGGUAGCGGAGAAAUUCCAAUCGAACCUGGAGAUAGCUGGUUCUCUCCGAAAUAGCUUUAGGGCUAGCCUCAAGUGAUGAUUAUUGGAGGUAGAGCACUGUUUGGACGAGGGGCCCCUCUCGGGUUACCGAAUUCAGACAAACUCCGAAUGCCAAUUAAUUUAACUUGGGAGUC